rnacentral:rRNA from 1 species
UACGUAGGUGACAAGUGUUGUCCGGAUUUACUGGGCGUAAAGGGCUCGUAGGCGGCCAACUAAGUCGAAUGUGAAAUCCCCAGGCUCAACUUGGGAACUGCAUCCGAUACUGGAUGGCUUGAAUUCGGUAGGGGAGACUGGAAUUCCUGGUGUAGCGGUGAAAUGCGCAGAUAUCAGGAGGAACACCGGUGGCGAAGGCGGGGUC